AGUGAACGCUGGCGGUAGGCCUAACACAUGCAAGUCGAACGGCAGCACAGGAGAGCUUGCUCUCUGGGUGGCGAGUGGCGGACGGGUGAGGAAUACAUCGGAAUCUACUUUUUCGUGGGGGAUAACGUAGGGAAACUUACGCUAAUACCGCAUACGACCUACGGGUGAAAGCAGGGGACCUUCGGGCCUUGCGCGAUUGAAUGAGCCGAUGUCGGAUUAGCUAGUUGGCGGGGUAAAGGCCCACCAAGGCGACGAUCCGUAGCUGGUCUGAGGGGAGGAUCAGCCGCACUGGAACUGAGACACGGUCCAGACUCCUACGGGAGGCAGCAGUGGGGAAUAUUGGCCAAUGGGCGCAAGCCUGAUUCAGCCAUACCGCGUGGGUGAAGAAGGCCUUCGGGUUGUAAAGCCCUUUUGUUGGGAAAGAAAUCCAGCUGGCUAAUACCCGGUUGGGAUGACGGUACCCAAAGAAUAAGCACCGGCUAACUUCGUGCCAGCCGCCGCCGUAA
rnacentral:rRNA from 1 species